AGCGGAAAGAAAUAUCAAUUAAGUAAGAUUAAAGUACUGAAGAUUUAACAAAAUACACAAUAUAAUCUCACUAGGAACCGGUGUCACGAAUCUGAGCCUCUAGAAUACAUAAUAUUAUCCUAAUACACGGUAUAUCCAAAGUCUGAUAAUGCGGAAAUAAAGAGAUAGGAUAGGAGUGAUAAAAUCAAUGGCUGCGAACGCCAUGCAGCUACCUCGAUACUCCCAGAGGCUGGAUCUGCUGAUCAACUGGAUCUACUGAGCCUAAGACUGCCCUGGAUCUGCACACAAGGUGUAGGGAGUAAAGUGAGUACUCCGACCCAGUGAGUAAUAAAACUAACUACAGUCCGAAGAUAAGAAAAUCCAGUAAAUACACAAAGUAAGCUACAAUCCGAAUAUACAGCAACAUAUGGAACUGAGCAGCUAAACACCAGUAUAAAUACAAAUACAUGAAUGCAAUACAAUGCAUAUGAUGGUACAUUCCAGUACCCACUGCGGUGUGCAUCCCCAGCCAUCCAUAUUUAUUUAUCAUCGACGGCGCUCACUGGGGGUGUGUACAGACUCCGGAGGGGCUCC
rnacentral:lncRNA from 1 species